UAAUAUAAAAGAUUUUCGGUGUGUCCUCAGGGGAAAUGAACGUAGUUUAAGCCAUAUGUUUUAAAAAAUUCAAAGAUUGUCCCGGUUAUAACUUAGAUUGUUUCUGCGCGUACUGUACUACACUAUUCCGGCCACGCUUACAUGUGCAAAGAACGGGAAAACGUGUUAUUUGUAGCAGCUAUCACGGAAGAUGAAAAGAGGUUAAGCCUGGAUUCUGCUCAGAAACUCGGCAUCACUGAAACAGAUUUUUUCCUUCUUCCAUUCCAUAGCGAAAAGAACGAGACGAAUGAAAGAAAAAGAAAGUAGGAGAGAAUAUCAAGAGAGGAAUAACAUAAAUGAUGAAAAUAUAUAAGAAAAGAGACGAAAGGACAAUUUCUUAAAAUACAGUCUGUGUCACCUCAUUUCGUUGGAUGAGGGAAAAGAGUCAGAAAAGCAUAAAACAGAUAUUCAAGAAGAGAAACAAGGAGGACUGACUGAGUUCCACGGCGUUGCCCGAACAUCCACGUCUCUUCCUGACAUAAACCAAAUGCAUGGCACAGAACGUAUACGAGUAACUUACAGUCUUCUUCCUGUAAAUUCUUUCCAGCUGCUGGACUAUACGACUUGCAGCUCAAGACAGUGCGUUACAACUCCAGCUAGUAUCCAGGACAAAGAAGUGAAAACUAGUAUCAGUCGCAUCUUAUCUUCUCGACAGAAUUUGUGGUGGAAGUCAACAUAAUUGACGGUGUCAAUGGCUGGCUCUUGUGAUUACGAUUGGCAGUAACUACAAGAGACAGAGCUCCUUCAUAAGCUAACAAUGGAUCGCCUGCUCAAAUGUGUUAUUGAAAUUCUAUGAAACUGAAGCCAACAAUUAUAGGUAAUGCUGUAUAGUACACAGCGAAGCAUACCGUUCACACAUGACGAAUUCUACCAAAAGGAACAAAAUGUGGCAUCAGCAGUAACUCAUACAUUUAACAACAAAGUAAAAACUAAGUGAUCGGGUUCGUGGCGGUAGAAAUAAUAUUUGUCUAACAUGUUAUAAUAUAGCCACUGUAGCUGACACUGGAAUCACAGCAGCACGUGUUUAGUUCCUAUCCUGAAUCAUUAUAUUCCAUUUUAUAUUGCCACAACCUCUUUAUAAAAUAACGAUUUUAUAUUAUUAAUCCGUGUAGAGGUACCGCAAAAGCUAGUUUUCCACGACAUCUAAGGAACAAACUUUUGUAUAUACUUGAUAGUCUUACAUCAAAGAGAAUUAUUAAAAUAUUAGGUUUAGCCUUCCAAGGCAUAAUGUUAACUAUAUGCUCCACAAUAUACUAUGUAUUUUGUACUCAUGGGCUUCACAUAUUUCCAAUGUAAACACUUUUUUCCUUACACAUUAUUAACCACUUAAUCUUUGUCAUGGUAAAUGUUGUUUUCUUUACAGCACUGACUGAACUGUUAACUGUUUAAGAAAGCUCUAACCUUAAAGUGUCUGUGUAUAACCUGUGAGCACUUUCACUUUUUCCUUAUUACAUUUUUCUUAGAUCCAAAUUUUCUUUACGGAAACCCUCAAUUCCACACACACUUAAGCCAAAUAAAAGCCAAUUUGCAGUUGUG